CCCUUAGAUGUCCUGGGCCGCACGCGCGUUACACUGAUGCAUUCAACGAGCUUAUAACCUUGGCCGAGAGGCCUGGGCAAUCUUGUUAACGUGCAUCGUGAUAGGGAUAGAUUAUUGAAAUUAUUAAUCUUGAACGAGGAAUUCCUAGUAAACGCAGAUCAUCAAUCUGCAUUGAUUACGUCCCUGCCCUUUGUACACACCGCCCGUCGCACCUACCGAUUGGAUGGUCCGGUGAAGCCUCGGGAUUGUGGUUCUUGCCGCUUUAUUGUGGCGUGACCGCGCGAACUUGUCUAAACCUUAUCAUCUAGAGGAAGGUGAAGUCGUAACA
rnacentral:rRNA from 1 species